UCUCUUUCUAUGUAUAUGUGCAGUCACAUAUCUUAUUUACUCUUAUUAACUCUAGCAAUAUUUGAUUGUAUGCUCAUUCGUAUAUUCUUCUGCUUUGACUUCAAAAUUAAGAUGCUACUUGUCUGCAGUAUGCAGAUUUGCUUUUUUUUAGCAAUUCUAAAGGCUAAUGAAUGUAGUAUGAACUUCAUACAAUGUUGCUAAGCUCUGUCGUAGUUGUUUACAGUAUGUUUACUUUCUUCAACACGGUUGGAUUCUAAAUUGCGUACAAAGGUGCUCCGUUUGAAUCGGUCCUGUAAGAAAUAUUUUGGUUUGCAGUCUGUGCAAUGUUCAAGAAAGCGGAAAGCGUAAGCGAAGUGGAAGGCCACAGCUUAGAGCAAUGAGCGCUUAAGCGCAACUUAAUCACACUUAAGCGUUUUUUGAAAUUGGCUAGAAUUUGACAGAUUUUGAAUGAUAUACACAUGAAAAUAGGAAGCAUGGCACAUGGGUAAUUGAAGUAGCAUCUGGAAUACAGUUCACACAACAGCAAAUACAUAUCAGGUUCGCAUAGCAAGCAAAAUAACAACUAAAAUGCAGUUCAGUUCAAAUAGACGUAACCUAACAGAUAUCAUGUGGACAGAAUUUUGCCAAAAUAUGAAGGAAAUAGUUCUUGAACAUAGCCUAGUAAUAAGAUAAAUAGCAUAUUGCCAUUAUUGCACAAGCAGACCAGCAGAAGUAGUACAAAAAUUGCCAAAUUUUGGUCAAAUUUAAAUAAAAAACGCUUAAUCUACCGCUUAGGGCAAAAGCGAAGCGCUUUGCCAUCGCUCAGCGCUUAAUCGCGCUUAAGCAUCGCUUAAAAACGCUUUCCUGAACACUGGUCAAAAUUAACUCUGAUGGAGCAGUUUCACGCUUUGGAGAGAAAGGUGGUGGAGGGGCAGUGUUGAGGAACCAUCACGGAGCUUUUCUGGGAGCAGCCUGUCAGUUCUUCCCACACAACGUUGAUCCAGAAGCUGUGGAGGUUCUUGCUUGCCGGAGAGCGGUUCAGUUGGCAAUCGCAACACAUGCUACGAAAGUACAUGUGGAGCUGGACAAUAACACGGUGGUGCACAUGCUCAAUCAGCAAACAAGGAACCUUUCUGCAGUAGGGCCUUGGAUACAGGAGAUCAAAGAGAUGCUCAACUCGUUCGCCGAGUUUAGAGUUGAGUGGAUUAGGCGUUCUGGGAAUAUUGCCGCGCAUAAAUUAGCUAAAGUAGGUGUAGGAGAAGAGAGGUGUGACGUUUGGGUGGGAUCACCACCAGACUUUAUUUUAGAUGUAAUUUCGGAUGAGAUUCCAGACUUGGUUUGAAUAAAAGCGGCAAGUUCCCCUAAUAAAAAAAACUCCCGCAGGAUGUUAACUGACGAUCACAACACAUCUGAGCCGGCCCGGCCGCAUCUAAACUGCGGGCACAACUCUCCAUGUCAGGCCAGGUGACCGACCGAUUUUUUUCCACGUUCACAAAAACGCAGAGCCCACUCCACUAACUAGCAGCAACGGGAGGGAGAAGCACAACUCAGGGUAAAAGCAGUCCGCAACCCCAAAUGAUGUUUGAAAUAAAUAGGUUUGAGUGAAAAUCUGGCAUGCUGAGAUCCCACGGUGACUUUGGAGGGGAUAUGAAGCAAAUAAACAAGGACAGUGAAAUCAAAAGUCAUCCAAAUAAAGGCUAACACCAUUAUUGCAGCAUACAAAGAGGGUGGGUCAUGGUAAACAUGGCCUACAUAUACAUAGAUAAACAAGUAGCAGUGACAUGGAUAUAGUUCAAUAAACUCAUAUAGAAAAUUUGGAUGCUUCAAUCUCAGAUCAACAGCACUACACCUCCGGGGUUCUUCUCAUCAUAGGGACUGUAGGGGCAAGAACAUUCAUCAUCUUCAGAUUCCUCGUCAUCAGAACCCAUCCCCACAUACUCUUUCUGUACCUCAACAUAGCCCCUGGUGAGCAAAUCAACACGGACCUUGUCCUCCAUCCCGACUUCAAAGCUGAGCUUCUUGUUCUUGACCUGACAAAUCUCGUCAAGAAACUUCUUUCUUUCAUCCAUCCACCCCACCGGGAAGAUCCCGCCGGCUUCAAUGCCAAGGAUCUUGUCAACGGUGGGGAUCAUUGGGCAAGACAAAAAUAAGCGGAUGUCAUCAUCUUUCAGCCGAACCAUGCCUGGGGCGGCGACAGACGCAGCCUCGGGCUUUGACUCUUCCACGAUCCUGUCGAUCGCCUCCUCCAAUUGCUUUGAUGUCAACGCUUUCGACUCAAGGAAGGUUAGCAGCGUCUCCUUGAUUCUUUUCCUUAGAGCUUCGCCGUCUUCCGGGAUGAGGUCCAGGGUGAGUAGGCCCGCCCAAUCGGCCGCCCUCGGCAGCCCCAGGAAGAUGUCCGACGCCCCCGCAUGCGCCGGGAACAUGUUCAACGCCUCGCAUGCCCCGGCCGACUUCCUUUUGAGAGGGCAUGCCCUCAACGGACCAUCCUCGCCGGUCACCGCAUCCUCCGGCGCGUUGGUGGUGAGCGAAAAAGUGCCCUUCUCGACGGUCGCUGCGUCCUCCACCGGACUAGGUUUGGUGGUGGAGCAUGGCCUCAGCGCAAAAACGCCGUUUUCGCCCGUCGUCGCCGCCUCCAUCGCCAUAUGUUUAUGUUUGGCGGCGGCGCACGGCGUCAACAAAAAAGCCCCCUUUUCGCCGUCACCGCCUCCUCUACCAGCAUGUGAUGCUUGUUGGUGCACUGCCUCAACGACAAAGGUCUCUUGGUGGUGGAAAAGUGCUCCUUACUAUCCAUCGCCGGUUCCCUCGCCGCCGAACAAUUGUUGUGAUUGGGGAUUGGGGAUGAGAUGUGCCGGCGGCGGUGUCGUCUCGAUCUAUAUAAAGGCAGAGGUGAACCCUAAUCCGCCAUCGACUGGACUACAAACCUUUCCGGAGCAGAUUCUACCUUGGCCAGGCCCGGUCCAGCUGCGUCUCAGAAUUGACUUCUUAUUGCCGAGCACAAUACUGGCGAAUCCUAUUUGCUGCGGGCCUCGGAACAAGCUGAAGGGCGAGAGAGCUGGGCCGGCCCACAAGCUCAGGAGGCACAGCCUCUUUGUCAUGUUUUUCUUACGUUUUCUGUGAUGGUGCAAUUUCAAAAGAAAAUAAACCAAGUGCAGCUGCUGCUAUUUAUACUUCCUCCGUUCCAAAAUAAAUGACCCAACUUUAUACUAACUUUAGUACUUUGUACUACUAAAAUUAGUAUAAAGUUAAGUCAUCUAUUUUGAAGCGGAGGGAGUAGAUCGGAAGAGGGAUUGUUUAUGGGAGCUUCGGUGAUGGUUAAUGAUGGAGUUCUUGAUCCUGAAUACGUUGAAGCCAUGGCUUGUCGUGAAGCUCUCGUACUACGGCAAGACUUGAAUUUAAGAGCGGCUGUUGUUGCGUCAGACUGUGCAAAUGUGGUACGCAGCGUCGAAGAAGGAAGCCGAGGCAUGAGCUCAAUGGUAAUAGAAGAAAUACGACGAAUGAAGAUGACGGCUGGGGAGGUAUCUUUUAGAUAUGAAAGACGUGAAGCAAAUUUCGAUGCACACAAUAUAGCUACUCCAGAACAUCUCUUGAAUUGGUGCCAGGCCGUUAUGUGUGGUUUUUGGAACCUCCUAAUUAUGUACAUCUUCAAAUCAAUUAAUAAAAGAUAAAGUGAAUAUAUACUAGUACAUCUCUCUGAAGGCGUCCGACAAGAUCAAGCGUUGCCGGGGCAGCCGGAGGGCGUCGACUUCGACCAAUACGGUGGGUACGUGAUCGUCGACGAGGAGAACGGCCGCGCCCUCUUCUACUACCUCGUGGAGUCAGCUUCAGAGAAGCCACUCCUGCUAUGGCUCAAUGGAGGUUAGAGCUAUAUAAAUCGGGCCAGGGUGCUCGUCGCUGGGGUACGGAGCAAUGCAGGAGCUGGGCCCGUUCCGUGUAACCGAAGACAACAGGACGCUCAGCAGAAACAUGCACGCCUGGAACAGCGUGGCUAACAUGAUCUUCCUGGAGUCGCCAGCCGGUGUGGGAUUCUCUUACUCCAACACGUCUGCGGACUACGACCUCAGUGGCGACCAGCGAACCGCCGCCGACGCGUACGUCUUCCUGGUGAGAUGGCUGGAGAGGUUCCCGGAGUACAAGGACCGCGCCUUCUACAUCUCCGACGAGAGCU